GAUGAAGAACGUAGCGAAAUGCGAUAAGUAAUGUGAAUUGCAGAAUUCAGUGAAUCAUCGAAUCUUUGAACGCAUCUUGCGCUCCUUGGUAUUCUGAGGAGCAUGCCUGUUUGAGUGUCAUUAAAUUCUCAACUAAACUGACUUUGAAUUGGUGUGGCUUGGAUUUGGGGGGAAAAUUGUUGUGGGCUUUUUGUAUAGUCUGCUCCCCUGAAAUUGAUUAGCGGUACCUUUGUGGAACUGUCUACAGGUGUGAUAAUUAUCUACAUCUUAGACAUCUGCUGGAAUGCUGCUUUCUAAACCUUACUUGUAUUGACAAUCUUGACCUCAAAUCAGGUAGGACUACCCGCUGAACUUAAGCAUAUCAAUAAGCGGAGGA
rnacentral:misc_RNA from 1 species